rnacentral:misc_RNA from 1 species
GCUUAUCCAGAUAAGUGCUUCGAGCGAGGCCCACGUUUCUUUAGCUGAAGGGGAUCUUGGCUGUUUCUUCUCAAACCUCCACCAGUGCUGCAAGUACAAUAGCAAGAAAUCAGCCGAACCUAGACAGCACGAGCAGGUAGGCAUUUCUUUCUCUCGCGGACCCAGAAGAAUGGAAGUUAAAAUUAUUUCCUUGAAAGACAACGCUUUAAACUAGACGAAACAUCACUAGUUCUCUGUGUUUUCAGAUGAUAGUAUCAAACGAACGACGUUCUUAGGCGCUAAUAUGAAACGUUUUGAAGAAACUCUUCGAUGAAUUGAGUCGAAAUCAAAAGACAAUGGGUAACAAGAACUGUACAGCUUGGAACUCGAUUCUCUUUCCCGAGAAUGAAGAAGAAGAGCGAUUAAAUGAAUGGUUGAAGAGUACUACCAGCUCGCCGAUGACUUGGGAGUACACACCAUCAUUCCCAUCUGGCGCUGACAUCUUACCAGUUCAACCUGUUUAUAAACCUGACGUACGAGAACUCCGAUUCAGACAUGAAAACGAGAAAGAUAAAUUGAGGAAAGACAGAGAUUCUAGAGGUAAAGGUAGUGAAAAUGAUGUCGAGGAAGUUGGUAAUGGGCAAACAUUGAUGAAUGGAAGUGAUACUAAUAGAAAUUUUACAAAGUUGGAGAAAAAGGAGAAUACAAAAACACACGACGAAAGAGAGACAGACACGUCGAGAAAACAGAAUCCCAAGAGACGCUUCCCAACAGGUCGAGUGUACAUCUCUAUAUCACAUGACCCCAUCACUAGAAGAAUCAAAGUGGCGGUCAUCAAAGCCAAGAAUCUAAGUUGCAAGCAAAUAGGACCGAAAGAUAAUUGUGGGAUAAACUGCGCAGCAUCUUACAUGGAUGUUUCUCUGUACGAGGGUGAUCAAGUAUGGCAAUCCUUCACUACAGCCAUCAAGAAAGGAUAUUCACAGGUCCUAUAUUACGAGAAUUUUGCCUUUGAUACAAACAAUCUGAACUUGAGAGAGGUAUCAUUAGUGAUAACAGCAAGACACAGCCAUAAACAACACUUCAUUAAACAUAGCCAUGAUAUUGGUAAAAUAAUACUUCAAGCACAAAUGAAUGAUGACACUAUGAUCGAUAGCCACCUUGUAGAGGCUGUAGUAAAGCCAGGAAUUACAUUGUAUAAGUGGCACACGUUAUGGAGUUGAAUGGUAAGAUAGCUAGAUACAGAGAUAUAGUACACCCAGGACAUACAUGAUAUAGGUGAUACACGUUAUGGAGUUGAAUAAUAACGUAGAUAAGAAAGAGAUAACCAAAAAGAACACAUAAAAGAAAAAAUAAAUAAAACAACUCAA